AUGGGGGGCCUGGCUAGGGGUGGCAAGGCGAGCGAACUGAUUAGAAGCUUGCUUCUAUGACGUUAGCGGCGGACGGGUGAGUAACACGUGGGCAACCUGCCUGUAAGACUGGGAUAACUUCGGGAAACCGAAGCUAAUACCGGAUAGGAUCUUCUCCUUCAUGGGAGAUGAUUGAAAGAUGGUUUCGGCUAUGGUUACAGAUGGGCCCGCGGUGCAUUAGCUAGUUGGUGAGGUAACGGCUCACCAAGGCAACGAUGCAUAGCCGACCUGAGAGGGUGAUCGGCCACACUGGGACUGAGACACGGCCCACACUCCUACGGGAGGCAGCAGUAGGGAAUCUUCCGCAAUGGACGAAAGUCUGACGGAGCAACGCCGCGUGAGUGAUGAAGGCUUUCGGGUCGUAAAACUCUGUUGUUAGGGAAGAACAAGUACAAGAGUAACUGCUUGUACCUUGACGGUACCUAACCAUAAAGCCACGGCUAACUACGUGCCAGCAACCGCGGUAUACCUACGUGUAAGCGUUAUCCAGAAAUAUGCGGCCCCACAGCGCGCGCAA
rnacentral:rRNA from 1 species